rnacentral:sRNA from 1 species
AAAACCACCCCAGCGACGUUCAUAGAAUGGCGCAAUAUGUUCGAUAUUAAAAUAACCUGACUUAUUAGUCCGAAUUCAGACAAAUAUAAACAAUUUUCGCUUAAUAUUAAAAAUACUAACCGAUAAAAGAUAUUACUUGAACAUGUAAAUUCACUUUCUUUAAACAACAAAAAACCGCCAAAAACAGGCGGUUAUUUGUUGCCGGUUUGGU